rnacentral:tRNA from 1 species
AUAUUGUUAGUAUAAUUUUAAUAUAUUUCUUUUCCAAAGAAAAGCUCUAAUUUUAGACAGUAUA